AGCUCGUAUACCUUUUCCUUAGCAUUUUAAUGUCGAUGGUGUGGGAGCAUAUGUUUCAGAAGCUGAAAGAAACUUAAGCCCUUCUGUAGGAUACUGGCUCAGUCACCACACACACAGCUUCAGUCGAAGGUGAAAAGUGUUCGGGGAGCUGUGGAGAGACACCGAGCUGUCUCUAGGAUAGCCAUGCAGCCGGCCCCUCUCCAGACCUUCCUGCUGCACAUCUGGUUACCUACUCUAAUGGGUGCAGAAAUGGAUCUAACAGGAAGGGGAAGCCAUAUAAUACUCCCCAAGAAUGUUUAAAAGAGGAUUCUUCAGCAUUUCAUGGAAAACAGGAGUCUUAAGGGAACAUCCUAGGUAAGUCAUUAUAGAAAAAGGAG
rnacentral:lncRNA from 13 species